AGGGCUUGGCCUGCAGACGAAUCGGAUGGUGGUAGAGAUCGGUUUUCGGUGAAGUUCCGCUCGGCCCCACACCCAACCUUAUCUGGCCCCGUCUCUGUCACGGCUGGCGUGGUUCGCGGCCUCCACGGUCCCGCGCUCAGUUGGAGGCCCCGGGACUGCCGUCUGCGUUGGAAUGUUGAAGAAAAGCUCUUCUUGACCCACAAAUAUGGAAAAAGACCUAACGGAGAAGUUAACAGCUGCAGCCGGUAUCAUUAUUGAGUGCUUACUAGUGCCCGGCCCUUUGAUAAUCGCUCGCUUGGUACUUAAUUCUCACAAUAAUUUGGUAAGAUGAAGAAACCGCUCAGAUUUGGCCAAGAUCACAUAACUAGAAGGUGGAGAAUUGGAGCCCACUAUGACUGCUCCAAAUUAAUAUAGUGGUUGUAGCCACUUACAUAAUAAUGGUAAAGGCUUCAUUUUUUGCUUUGUUGUAUGGGUAAACUCACUGAGGGAAGGAGGCAGCACAUCCUUAGAUACACACAUGACAGGAAGGAUUAGAAAAAGAAACAGAAGAAAAGCAGAAAAAGUAAAAUGCCCUCAAAUUAAUCUUAAAGGAUUUAAAAAUAAAAGCAGAAAUAAAUGGACUAGGAAAUAAAUGGAUCCCAAUAAUAGCUGGUAUUUGAAAACAAACAAUAGACACUUAGCAAAUCUGAGGAAGGAGAGAAAACGAUAUUGGAAACAAAGGCAACAUAUUACUGAC